AGCCCACCUUUUCAGUUCCCUGAAGACCCUCUAAAGGCUGGACUCGCGGGUCCUGCGUCCUCCUCCCGGAACGCAUCCCACCUACCUUGCUGCUGGCAGAGAACCCUGAAAGGGAAACGAAGCCCGUCACACUCUGAGGUUGUAGCAGAAGAUGUAAGAUGAGGGGAGAAAGAAGUGAGCUGCAGUCAGAGAGAGGACGCCCGUUCUGGCCCUGAAAGGUUUCAGGCCUCCGAGGGGAAGCGCAGAGAAAGGACUAAACAGGGUAUACGUGGAGAGAAGUGUGGGUAUCUGGGUUUCUGGGGCCCAGAUUCUGCCUCUGCACAGGCUGCACACAUGUUUGACGUUCUGGCCAGGUCUUGACGUGCUUCCCCGCCACUCCUUGGAAACAUGGAGGCAGGACAUGGGACAAACCACUCCUGCACACAGAAGAGAAUGCGGCACCGGCCGAGUAAAGACUGUCCAGGUCACGCUUGUGCUCUUGUUCAGCGUCCCAUGGAUGUGAGAACUAUGAGGACAAAUCCAGGACACCGCCGUCCACUUGAUGCAGCCUAUUUUGAAGAGCUGUAAAAAGGGGAGUGCUGAGAGCUGGAGUUCCAUGUACCAGGUGCCACCACCUAGAAGACAGUAAACAUCUGAAGUUGGCCUCUCCUUCUCUUGGGAGAGGUGUGUGUUCUCUCUGGAAGCCAGUGACUGUUGCUCAUGAGUUGCUUCUCCUGCCCAGCUCAUCAGCGCUGUCUGAAUGCUCAUCACCCCAUCUGAAUUGUAUCACGUUCACAUAUCAGGUUGCACAAUGUGGAUAUAGAGGAAUGCGGCAGGAAUUCUGAUGGGGGCGCCUCCCAUGGAAUGUCAAGCAAGAAAAUGACCUCAUCAAUUACACUAAUUAAUUAAACACUCCUCG